GAGUUUGAUCCUGGCUCAGGAUGAACGCUGGCGGCGUGCUUAACACAUGCAAGUCGAGCGAAGCACUUAAGAAAGAUUCUUCGGAUGAAGACCUUUGUGACUGAGCGGCGGACGGGUGAGUAACGCGUGGGUAACCUGCCUCAUACAGGGGGAUAACAGUUAGAAAUGACUGCUAAUACCGCAUAAGACCACGGUACCGCAUGGUACAGUGGUAAAAACUCCGGUGGUAUGAGAUGGACCCGCGUCUGAUUAGGUAGUUGGUGGGGUAACGGCCUACCAAGCCGACGAUCAGUAGCCGACCUGAGAGGGUGACCGGCCACAUUGGGACUGAGACACGGCCCAGACUCCUACGGGAGGCAGCAGUGGGGAAUAUUGCACAAUGGAGGAAACUCUGAUGCAGCGACGCCGCGUGAAGGAUGAAGUAUUUCGGUAUGUAAACUUCUAUCAGCAGGGAAGAAAAUGACGGUACCUGACUAAGAAGCCCCGGCUAACUACGUGCCAGCCGCCGCGGUAAUAC
rnacentral:rRNA from 1 species